UGGAGGCAGCAGUGGGGAAUUUUGGGCAAUGGGCGAAAGCCUGACCCAGCAACGCCGCGUGAAGGAUGAAAUCCCUCGGGAUGUAAACUUCGCAAGAACGGGAAGAAUAAGUGAGAGUUAAUAUCUCUCGCGAUGACGGUACUGUUUGUAAGCUCCGGCUAACUCCGUGCCAGCAGCCGCGGUAAUACGGGGGGAGCAAGCGUUGUUCGGAUUUACUGGGCGUAAAGGGCGCGUAGGCGGCCACCGCAAGUCGAUUGUGAAAUCUCCGGGCUUAACCCGGAAAGGUCAACCGAUACUGCGGGGCUAGAGUGCGGAAGGGGCAACUGGAAUUCUCGGUGUAGCGGUGAAAUGCGUAGAUAUCGAGAGGAACACCUGCGGCGAAGGCGGGUUGCUGGGCCGACACUGACGCUGAUGCGCGAAAGCUAGGGGAGCGAACGGGAUUAGAUACCCCGGUAGC
rnacentral:rRNA from 1 species